UACGUAGGGUGCGAGCGUUAAUCGGAAUUACUGGGCGUAAAGCGUGCGCAGGCGGUUUCUUAAGUCAGAUGUGAAAGCCCCGGGCUUAACCUGGGAACUGCGUUUGAAACUGGGAGACUUGAGUGUGGCAGAGGGGGGUGGAAUUCCACGUGUAGCAGUGAAAUGCGUAGAUAUCAGGAGGAAUACCGAUGGCGAAGGCAGGUCUCUGGGCUGACACUGACGCUCAUGCACGAAAGCGUGGGGAGCAAACAGG
rnacentral:rRNA from 1 species